rnacentral:rRNA from 1 species
UUGCUCUUCAACGAGGAAUGCCUAGUAAGCGCGUGUCAUCAGCAUGCGUUGAUUACGUCCCUGACCUUUGUACACACCGCCCGUCGCUACUACCGAUUGAAUGGCUCAGUGAGGCGUUCGGACUGGCUCGGGGAGGUUGGCAACGACCACCCCAAGCCGGAAAGUUCGUCAAACUCGGUCAUUUAGAGGAAGUAAAAGUCGUAACAAGGUCUCCGUAGGUGAACCUGCGGAGGGAUCAUUACACAAAAAAUAUGAAGGCUGUAUGCGGCUGUGUCUCUUUCGGGGGGCCAGCUUUUGCGGAGGCUGAAAUAUUUUUCACCCAUGUCUUUUGCGCACUUGUUGUUUCCUGGGCGGGUUUCGCCCGCCACCAGGACCACACCAUAAACCUUUUUUAUGCAGUUGCAAUCAGCGUCAGUAUAACAAAUGUAAAUCAUUUACAACUUUCAACAACGGAUCUCUUGGUUCUGGCAUCGAUGAAGAACGCAGCGAAAUGCGAUACGUAGUGUGAAUUGCAGAAUUCAGUGAAUCAUCGAAUCUUUGAACGCACAUUGCGCCCUUUGGUAUUCCAAAGGGCAUGCCUGUUCGAGCGUCAUUUGUACCUUCAAGCUUUGCUUGGUGUUGGGCGUCUUUUUUUUGUCUUGGGCCUUUUUGUGCCCUGAGACUCGCCUUAAAACGAUUGGCAGCCGGCCUACUGGUUUCGGAGCGCAGCACAUUUUUGCGCUUGCAAUCAGCAAAAGAGGCCAGCCAUCCAUCAAGACCAUUCUUCUCACUUUUGACCUCGGAUCAGGUAGGGAUACCCGCUGAACUUAAGCAUAUCAAUAAGCGGAGGA